GAUUGCUGCUCAACUGCUUCACUAUUGACUAUUCUUGCCGACUCUGAAUCUUCCCAACCCACGCGAUAAGUUCUAUCGCAUAUGAACAUCAUUUUGAAGCACAAACUUCGAGCAAGGGAUAUGAUUGUGAAGUUUGUGAAUGUGAACAUUGGAAGGAAAUAAACAUUGCUCUACUUCUGAACUAUGGCGAAUCAGUGUACAACAAUGUUGUACAUGAGUAUGGUGGUUUUCAUUGCAAUAUCGGUCCUGCCGGCUGCAGCUGAUACUGAUUUUC